rnacentral:rRNA from 1 species
GAUGAACGCUGGCGGCGUGCUUAACACAUGCAAGUCGAACGAAGCACUUUAUUUGAUUUCCUUCGGGACUGAUUAUUUUGUGGCUGAGUGGCGGACGGGUGAGUAACGCGUGGGUAACCUGCCUUGUACAGGGGGAUAACAGUUGGAAACGGCUGCUAAUACCGCAUAAGCGCACAGCAUCGCAUGAUGCAGUGUGAAAAACUCCGGUGGUAUAAGAUGGACCCGCGUUGGAUUAGCUAGUUGGUGAGGUAACGGCCCACCAAGGCGACGAUCCAUAGCCGACCUGAGAGGGUGACCGGCCACAUUGGGACUGAGACACGGCCCAAACUCCUACGGGAGGCAGCAGUGGGGAAUAUUGCACAAUGGGCGAAAGCCUGAUGCAGCGACGCCGCGUGAGCGAAGAAGUAUUUCGGUAUGUAAAGCUCUAUCAGCAGGGAAGAUAAUGACGGUACCUGACUAAGAAGCACCGGCUAAAUACGUG